rnacentral:rRNA from 1 species
UACGUAGGGUGCAGGCGUAAUCGGAAUUACUGGGCGUAAAGCGUGCGCAGGCGGUUUGCUAAGACAGGUGUGAAAUCCCCGGGCUUAACCUGGGAACUGCGCUUGUAACUGGCAAGCUAGAGUGUGGCAGAGGGGGGUGGAAUUCCACGUGUAGCAGUGAAAUGCGUAGAGAUGUGGAGGAACACCGAUGGCGAAGGCAGCCCCCUGGGCUACACUGACGCUCAUGCACGAAAGCGUGGGGAGCAAACAGG